UACGGAGGGUGCAAACGUUGCUCGGACUCAUUGGGCGUAAAGCGCGCGUAGGCGGCUUGACAAGUUGGAUGUGAAAGCCCUGGGCUCAACCCAGGAUGUGCAUUCAAAACUGUCUGGCUUGAAUCUCGGAGGGGGUCGGGGAAUUCCCGGUGUAGAGGUGAAAUUCGUAGAUAUCGGGAGGAACACCAGUGGCGAAGGCGCUGAACUGGACGAUGAUUGACGCUGAGGCGCGAAAGCCUGGGGAGCAAACAGG
rnacentral:rRNA from 1 species